GAAGCCAUCAAAUACCCAGUCUUUAGAAGAAUUGGUGACGAUUUCACAGUGACGACGGAGAUCAUUGCAGGAGUUGAGGAGUUCGUCUGUCAUCUAUACAAACAGUUGGAUUGUUCUGAUGUGAACACUGCAAGAUACAACCUGUUGCAGAUGGGAACUGGGAUGAAGUUAUCAAUGCCUCCAAACAAGGAUGCCUUGUGCCUUCAUGUCAAGAGGGCAAACUACCAAGCAGCCAUAUACAAGAGAGCCCUGGAUCCGCAUCCUGUGGUACCAUCUCCACACGGACAUGGAUGGAAGGUCAACAGCGAUGACAUUUUCAUCCACUGGAUGGAUCUUCCACCUGCUCCCAACAGUGUUAUGGAAUUAGCCCAUUGUCCGUGCAAAAAAAGCCAGUGUGCCAAAGGAAAAUGUAGCUGUCUUGAAAACAACUUGCUAUGUACCGACUUGUGCAAAUGCAGCAACUGUGAGAACAUGCAAAGUGACCAGCAGUGUACUCUACCAGAGAGUGAUGAUUCCGAUGUUGACGAGUACUCUUAAUCCCUUACAGCUUUCUUCAUAAAUCCUGUAAUCGUUCGCAUGAAUUAAAUUUUACUCUGUGUCAAUCCUGAAAAAUUUUUGGAGCAUGUUAAUUGGAGGUUUACCCUCUGUCUCAGUCCUUCAAAAUUAUCGUUUAUUAGCUAUCUUUGUGCUUAGGCAGGGCAAGUGGCAUUCUAAAGCAGAGUGAUUGCUUCCCAAAUAAAUUUGGGAUGGAUUUAUAUGUAUGCAGGACUUGGAGCAUUGACAGUGGGUUUCCAAAGAUAAUACAUUUGAUGAGGAUGUUUUGAGGCAAGUAGAAAAGCAAUGUUCAUUUAGGCCACCGUUUAGAAAUGAUGCCCAAGGUUUGCUUCAGACUAUGACGAACCUCGAACCAAGACUAGCCGUAAUGUGACUGUAUGCCAUCAUGAUAAAUAUCCUUAGUAGUUUGGAAUAACCCUUCUGUUGUGUGAACAGAGACAAUUUCACAAACCAGCUCACCAGAAUUUUCUGUGUAUUUAUGCUAGGUUCGUAUGUGACAGCGAGUAUGCCAUUGUGGUAAAUUUCCUUAUUAUUUUGGGAAAGCCUUUAUCUUGUGUGAACAAGAGACAAUGUCGCAAACCAACUUAUCAGAAUUUUCUGAGUGUUUUCAUGCUAGGAUUGUACUAGUAUUGUCUACAUGUAUGUAAAUAAUUUUGUCCUUUUGAAAUGCAGUUUGGUCGGUUGUGGACUAAUGAGAACAUGAAGUGAGUCAGACAUAAAAACUGGUACAUCUUGUCAUUUCAGACAAACAAGCCCCUUACUGCAAAUGAACGUGCAAUUUGCGAAUUUAGACCAAAUGAUUGAAGAAAUAUUUAGUCUUUGCUUGAUCUAGUUUGUGAAUGAGACAUGUACAUCAUCAUUCAUUGAUAUCAAUAUCAUGAUGACAUUGACAGUUUUUUAGGUUUUCAGUUCAAUGGGAUAAUUUGCCAACAGAUGUCUACUUUCAGUAUGGUGUUUGUGAAUCAUGAAGCAUUCCUCUCAUUUAGGUACUAUGAACCUUCAGAGUUUUGGAGGUGUUACAUUUGGGAUAUCAUAAUUACAAAGUACAAAACAUGAAUGCAUUCCUGAUGACUGCUAAAGUUUGUGCAUGUGAUAAACUCUUCCCUUUUAGAUUAAAUUAAUCAAGAAAUAUUAAUGUUAUACAGGUAACACUGAUAGUCAGUGUCAGCAUGUGUAUUUCAGUAUACAGAAGAGCCACUUUCAAUUUGAAAUAUGACUUGUGUUUCUAGUAAUUUGGAAGCAGGUGUUUUUUCCUUAUAUGGAGUGAAGGUGCGGGUAUAUGAAGUACAACGGAAUAAAAGAAUUAAUGAAAUUUUCUUGAAAAAA